UUAUUGUUGAGUAAAGCAUUGCCAAAAAUACUGGUGAACGAGGCUUAAGAUCUAUACUAGAAAGUAUUCUGACUGAAGUCUUGUUUGAGGUAUUGCAUGACACCACAACUUUUUGUAUUUGGUGUUAAUUCUGGAAGAGCUUGGAAAAAUGUCACCCAUUUUUCUCUUCACAUUGAGGCAACUAUAGGGAGGAGAUAUGUCACCUUUUAUUUGAGAGUUUGAAGUACUUGCUUUUGAGUAUUACUUUUAAAAUUUUACUUGAGCACCCCAUGAGUGUUGACAUAGCUAUCUUAUGUAGAACUUUUCUCCAAAUUCCAAAAUGAACCUAAACAUGACUUUUACCUGUCUUUUGAAAUGUGCCUGAAUAUUGGUUUCAAAGGCUUGUGUUUCAUUGUCAAGUAGACUACAUGGAUUCUCUUUUGUAAUCUGGUUCACUUUUGCACUAUCAACAGCAUAGUUAUUCAAUUAUUUUUUGGUGUUCAUGUUUGUUUGCACGUUGCUGACUUCAAUGUCGAAGCAGCUCAGCAAGAGGUUGUCUACAUAGAUGAAGUUGAUAAAAUAGCUAAACAGGUCCAAAAAUUAUUAUCUACUUUAUGAAUUUGGAUAAUUGACUUUAAAGACGUAAUCAUUCUCAUCGUAAUCUCUAUAGGCUGAGAGCCUUAACAUUGGCAGAGAUGUAUCUGAGGAGGACGUCCAACAGGCGCUGCCGAAGAUGCUUGAAGGAACUGUGAGUAUUUAUUGCAAAAUAUUUUCUGUUCGUUCCAAAAUUGCCUAUUACUCUUGUAAAUGUGUUCUCAAAUUCAUAUCUGUAGUUCCUUGACUUCAAAUGUGUUCUCUUUUGAAGCAUUUUUCGGAGAUCAAUAAGCUCACCUGCUGAGUUUAUCUUUAUUUCUUCUUUAGAUUGUAAGUGUACCUGAUAAUAGAGCACGGAAGCAUCCAUGUGGCGAUACUAUUCAGGUAUACUGGAUCUAUUAUAGGAUGGUAAUAUAGUUUAGUGGGAAAAACACUAACCACUUGCUAUUUGGAUGGUAAUAUAGUUUUGUGCUUUUUAGAAUCUAUUUGAUUAAGUUGGGGGUGAAAUACAAUCUCUAGUCUCUACUGGGAAAGAUUGUUUGUUCAAGAAAAAUCAGAUGUCGGACACUGGCCUAUCCAACAAACAAGAAACAACACUUCUUCAGCUAAUUAACUACACUUAUGUUGGGAGUGGGAAGUCGAGUCAAAUGCUGGUUUAUAUGCCUUGCAG
rnacentral:lncRNA from 1 species